CCUACGCUACAAUAGUGAGCAACGACAGCCAAUCAACCUUAGCCAAGACACUGAGGCUUUGUCAUGCUUGUUGCUGGUUACUUUAAUGUUUUUUGGGGGUUUUUUUUUAGAGGGUUGCGCCGGACCCUGCAAGUGCAUGUUAUGCCAUGGCCUGAAACCAAGGAGGUGGGCUGAGUGCUGACAGAGAACGAAAAAACAGAUACUCUGUCUUUCUCAAACAUCUUCAAGGUCUCUGGGGAGGAAUAAAUGCCCCUGAGUAGGUGAUGGCUUUAGGGAGACAACUCUGGAGCUGUACAGGGUCCACAGAGCAGUGCACUCGAGAGGGGUAUCUGCACUCGCUGUUCCUUUUUCCUAUGCAUAUACCGCUUUGAGAUCUAGCUUUAAAGAGGCAUAGGGCAUGGGAAAAUGGGGCUGCAGAGGUAUUUCACCGACCAAACUACCCCUGGUUGUUCAACUACCACAGCCCUGAGUUCUCCCUGUUUCCCCAUUUUGGACCUCGAUCGACCUCAACAAGACCACACCCUGAACUCAGUGGAGAGACCAUACCUCGUAAGGAGAGACUGGAUUUUACAAUGUCCUGAUGGCUCCUUAUUUUAUUUAUGAUAAUGCAUAAUGCAUGAUGAUAAUGUACAUUUUGUAGCUGUCCAAGCUGUUGCUGUAUUGCUGACUUUUGAUAUUGAUUCAUGUUUUGCAGUGUUUGUUGUCCACCUAGUGGGUGGAAUUGUCUGUCUGUUGUUGUUCAGUAACAAAGUGUGUAAAACAUUUUUUUUUAAAUAAACAUUAAUGAUCUUCAAA